UACGAAGGGGGCUAGCGUUGCUCGGAAUCACUGGGCGUAAAGCGCACGUAGGCGGCUUUCUAAGUCAGGGGUGAAAUCCUGGAGCUCAACUCCAGAACUGCCCUUGAUACUGGAGAGCUUGAGUUCGGGAGAGGUGAGUGGAACUGCGAGUGUAGAGGUGAAAUUCGUAGAUAUUCGGAAGAACACCAGUGGCGAAGGCGACUUACUGGACACAUAUUGACGCUGAGGUGCGAAAGCGUGGGGAGCAAACAGG
rnacentral:rRNA from 1 species